rnacentral:rRNA from 1 species
GACGAACGCUGGCGGCGUGCCUAAUACAUGCAAGUAGAACGCUGAAGAGAGGAGCUUGCUCUUCUUGGAUGAGUUGCGAACGGGUGAGUAACGCGUAGGUAACCUGCCUGGUAGCGGGGGAUAACUAUUGGAAACGAUAGCUAAUACCGCAUGAUAUUAAUUAUUGCAUGAUAAUUGAUUGAAAGAUGCAAUUGCAUCACUACCAGAUGGACCUGCGUUGUAUUAGCUAGUUGGUGAGGUAACGGCUCACCAAGGCGACGAUACAUAGCCGACCUGAGAGGGUGAUCGGCCACACGGGGACUGAGACACGGCCCAGACUCCUACGGGGGGCAGCAGUAGGGAAUCUUCGGCAAUGGGGGGAACCCUGACCGAGCAACGCCGCGUGAGUGAAGAAGGUUUUCGGAUCGUAAAGCUCUGUUGUAAGAGAAGAACGGGUGUGAGAGUGGAAAGUUCACACUGUGACGGUAUCUUACCAGAAAGGGACGGCUAACUACGUGCCAGCCGCCGCCGUAA